UUUAUUUUCGUGAAAAAGAGGAAAGAAACCUCGUGCUCUCUCUCAUCUCUCAUCAGAACCAUUCUCUCUCUCUCUCUCUCAUCAGAAAUCCUCAAAUAUCCCAUUCUCUCCCUCUCUCUCAUCAGAAAUCCCCAAAUCCCCCGUUCUCUCUCACUCUCAUCAGAAAACCGGCCCGAAACCCCGUGUCGUCAGAGUUCGCCGCUGCCGUCGAAGUUCACCGCUGCCAUCUCAUCGGCAACAUCUCUUUGUUUCUCUCUCUUCUCCACGAUUCAAAGCAGCAAUCUCAGCUUUUCUCUUUCAAGACAUCAUCAACAUGGAAGGUGGCAAGCAAGAAUAGGAAGAGUUGCCGGGAACAAUGAUCUCUAUUUAGGAACAUUCAGUAUCAACUGUUUGCAGUUAGUUCAGUUAGUUGUUCAUGUGGACUAGCAGAUUGGAGAUUUGUCUAUAAGUUAAUUAGGUUGCAUUUUAUAUUUUUUGAAGGAAUUUGGAUUUGAUUAUCUUGGAAGCAUAGAGCAACUUGUCAUGAGGUUACAAGCAAACUGGAAUAUUUAAACAGUUGUUCCCUUUUUUUUCUUUUCUUUCACAUUUUCCUCUCUUUCCAUUGUGUUUUUUUCCUUCAUGGAUUACAAGCAAACUGGAAUAUUUAAACAGGCAUUUGAGUGUUGACUUGAAAAUGGAAAUGAAUGUAACUAUUUUUAGUCCAUUAAGAUGUGUAUUUAUUUUUUAUUUUAUACGAUAAAAUUUUUAUU